rnacentral:rRNA from 1 species
CCUACGGGCGGCAGCAGUGGGGAAUAUUGCACAAUGGGGGAAACCCUGAUGCAGCGACGCCGCGUGAGUGAGGAAGUCUUUCGGUAUGUAAAGCUCUUUCAGCAGGGAAGAAAAUGACGGUACCUGACUACGAAGCCCCGGCUAACUACGUGCCAGCAGCCGCGGUCAUACGUAGGGGGCACGCGUUAUCCGGAUUUACUGGGUGUAACGGGAGCGUAGACGGAAUAGCAAGUCUGAUGUGAAAACCCGGGGCUCAACUCCGGGAGUGCAUUGGAAACUGUUGAUCUAGAGUGUCGGAGAGGCAGGCGGAAUUCCUAGUGUAGCGGUGAAAUGCGUAGAUAUUAGGAGGAACACCAGUGGCGAAGGCGGCUUGCUGGACGAUGACUGACGUUGAGGCUCGAAAGCGUGGGGAGCAAACAGGAUUAGAUACCCCAGUAGUC